UACGCGAAGAACCUUACCAGGUCUUGACAUACCAUUGACCGUUCUAGAGAUAGGAUUUUCCCUUCGGGGACAAUGGAUACAGGUGGUGCAUGGUUGUCGUCAGCUCGUGUCGUGAGAUGUUGGGUUAAGUCCCGCAACGAGCGCAACCCCUGUCGUUAGUUGCCAGCAUUCAGUUGGGGACUCUAACGAGACUGCCAGUGACAAACUGGAGGAAGGUGGGGAUGACGUCAAAUCAUCAUGCCCCUUAUGACCUGGGCUACACACGUGCUACAAUGGUUGGUACAAAGAGAAGCGAAGCGGUGACGUGGAGCAAACCUCAUAAAGCCAAUCUCAGUUCGGAUUGUAGGCUGCAACUCGCCUACAUGAAGUUGGAAUCGCUAGUAAUCGCGAAUCAGAAUGUCGCGGUGAAUACGUUCCCGGGUCUUGUACACACCGCCCGU
rnacentral:rRNA from 1 species